GUCCCUGCUACGGCUGGGCUAGGAAAGGUGGGGGCGAAACAGGUGGACCAUCAGGCAAAACGGGUAAACACCUUGGUAGGAGACGGAGGAGGGUUUUCUGCCAGCCUGUUGCGGUCUGUGCAUAUGCGCGUGCGCGGCUGGAGCAGCGCUCGAGCGGGCACGCGGUUUGGCCCUGGACGGGUGCCGUAGCCGAAAAGCUGGGCGGAUGUUGUGAGCCGGUCGCGGAGGCUGAGGCCGGGGGUGAGUGAGAGGCGGCCUGGCUAUGAGCCGGGCGGGUUCGGUGACUCCCCUCGAGGCCCCUGGCCGAUCCAGUGCGACAGUGCCGCGGCCUGCGGUAUAGGAGUCCCAGCGGGAGCUGGCCUGACAGGUCCUAUGGACCUUGGGGCCAAGCAGGGGCGACCUGGGGGAGCAUGCGCUGCCCUUGACAUCCUUGGCCACCCAGUCUUAGUCGGUUCGGUUCUGAGCCUGGAUCUCUUAGAAGGGCUGGGCAAUAAUGGAGUGGCAGGGAGCUCUGGGGCAGGCGCAGGUUCCGCCUCUAAAUCCUCUACACCUGACACUCAGAGUGUGUGUCUGGAAGGUUGGCUUCCAGGUCUUACUAACUGUGUCCAAUAAGUCCUGCAAUUGUUCCAAUAUAAGAGGGACUGGUUGUGGAUGUUCAUCGAGGGCCCCCGGAGGGCGGCACAGCGGCAGAAUCACCUUCCUGAGCCUGGUAUGAUGCAGGCAAGGCAAGGGUUUGUGGCGGGAGCCGAGGGCCCGUUUGGGAUGUGAUAAGAGUAAGCUGCAGAAAAAGAAGUGCUGGCUCAGGCAAGUGACUAAAGGCCAAGCUCUCUGGACAGGCGCUAAUAGAACUUUCUGGGCCGGUGGUGGUGAUAGCACACCUGUGCCUUCCGGUUUAGUACAGUCAUGUGUGAUGGCUGAACUCUUGAAACUGAAAGUUCAGUUUUUAACUUUGUAAACUUAACCACUCUUGGCUCCUGACUACCGUGUGGUGCAGCACACCCCUACACUGAGACAGGCAUCAGGGAGUUCAUGCAGUUUCUGUAGUAGCUGCAGCAACAACAUAAAGAGAUAGACAAGAGUAGGAAGACCAAUAGAAUGAUCUUGGCUAAGGCGAUGAUUGCAUAGGAUAGACGGUUAUAUGGUGUGUGUGUGUGUGUGUGUGUGUGUGAGCGCGUGCACGCAUGCAAGAAAACUAAUGAGACUGAAAAUAAGAAAAUGGAGGAAGCUUGGGCUAAGUAUGACAUCUCUUACUCUGGGGCCCCAGGGAACAUGGCAUAAGGUCUUGCCUUUUGAAUAUGAGCUGGGCUCCAUGGUAAAUACAGGAGGUUUUUAUUCUAGGCCACCUCACUUUGGACGUGUUGAUCUGAUUUCCCCAGAGCCAAGGCCUCUAGUUAUGGUUCAGCAAACAUACUUUGCACCAGGUCUCUACUAGCUCCUGUAUGGGGCACUGAGACGUCGUGGGACAAUAGUGUCCCUGACACCAGUCUAAAUCCCACCCAACAUCCAUGUUUGGAAAGCUGGGAGCCCUUGCUUACCCCUGCCCUGGGUUAGUAUGUGUGUGAAUAUGCAUGGUUCAGUCUUACCUGCUCCCAAGCCUUCCUCCUAUUGCAGGACUGAGGUCUGUGUGAGCCUUUGACUAGCCUGGAGUAGACACCUGCAUCUGGCUCAGCCUCCAGGACCAUUGACUGCCCAUGAGUAAUGAGGGAUGGCGUCCAAGGGGACUGGCAUGUCGUUCUCCCGAAAGAGCUAUAGGCUGACCUCAGAUGCUGAGAAGUCCAGGGUCACAGGCAUCGUGCAAGAGAAACUACUGAGCGACUAUCUGUACCGCAUCUUUUCCCCUCCUGACCGUGGACCCGCCGCAGCCACCAGCAGGAAACCGCUAAACUUCCAUAACCUGCCUGAGCACGUGGACCAGCUGCUACAGGUGGACAGUGAAGACAACGAGAGCCAGGGACAAGUUGAAGGUCGACUUGGCCCAUCUACUGUGGUCCUAGACCACACAGGAGGCUUUGAGGGGCUUCUCCUUGUGGAUGAUGACCUCCUGGGGGUGAUUGGACACAGCAACUUUGGCACUAUCCGUUCUACCACAUGUGUGUACAAAGGGAAGUGGGUCUACGAGGUGCUCAUCUCCUCCCAGGGCCUCAUGCAGAUCGGCUGGUGCACCAUCAACUGCCGCUUUAAUCAGGAGGAAGGGGUUGGAGACACACAUAACUCCUAUGCCUAUGACGGCAACCGAGUGCGCAAGUGGAAUGUUACCACCACGAAUUAUGGCAAGGCGUGGGCUGCGGGGGACAUUGUCAGCUGCCUAAUUGAUCUGGAUGAUGGGACUCUGUCCUUCUGCCUGAAUGGCGUGUCACUGGGCACUGCCUUCGAGAACCUUUCCAGGGGCCUAGGAAUGGCGUACUUCCCAGCCAUCAGCCUGUCAUUCAAGGAGUCUGUGGCAUUCAACUUUGGCAGCCGUCCUUUGCGCUACCCAGUUGCGGGCUUCCGGCCCCUGCAGGACCCUCCGUUUGCUGACCUGGUCCGGGCACAGAGGUUGCUGGGCUGCUUCCAGGCAGUGCUAAGUGUGGAGCUGGACCCUGUGGAAGGGCGGCUGGUGGAGACGGAGAGCUCUGAGUGGCAGCUGCAAGGGCAGCCCACUGUCCUCCUCACGCUGGCCCACAUCUUCCAUCACUUUGCACCACUGCUGCGCAAGGUAUACCUGGUGGAGGCUGUGCUAAUGAGCUUCCUGCUGGGCGUUGUGGAGAAGGGCACACCAGAGCAGGCGCAGUCUGUGGUACACCAGAUCUUGGACCUCUUGUGGCUCUUCAUGGAGGACUAUGAGGUACAGGAUUGCCUGAAGCAGUUGAUGAUGUCACUUCUACGUCUCUACCGAUUCUCGCCUAUUGUCCCAGACCUGGGUCUACAGAUCCACUACCUGCGCCUCACUAUGUCCAUCCUGAGACACGAGAAGUCCCGCAAGUUCCUGCUUAGCAAUGUCCUUUUUGACAUGCUCCGGUCCGUGGUCUUCUUUUAUAUUAAGAGUCCCCUGCGUGUGGAGGAAGCUGGCCUGAAGGAACUCAUUCCCACCACCUGGUGGCCCCAUCGCUCCAGCAGGGAGAGCAGAGACGGUAAGGAAGCAAGGGAGGAGACCACCGAAGAGCGGCAGCGGAGGCGAGCCUAUGAGCGUGGCUGCCAAAGACUCAAGAAACGCAUUGAAGUGGUGGAAGAACUGCAGGUCCAGAUCCUGAAGCUGCUGUUGGACAAUAAAGAUGACAAUGGGGGUGAAGCUUCUAGGUACAUCUUUCUGACAAAAUUCCGAAAGUUCCUGCAGGAGAAUGCCAGCGGCCGGGGGAACACACCCGUGCUCUGCCCCCCUGAGUACAUGGUCUGCUUCCUACACCGGCUGGUGUCUGCCUUGCGCUUCUAUUGGGAUGAAUACAAAGCUUCCAACCCCCGUGCUUCCUUCAGUGAGGAGGCUUACAUCCCGCCCCAGAUCUUCUAUAAUGGCAAGGUGGACUACUUUGACCUUCAGCGCCUUGGGGGCCUCCUCUCACACCUUCGAAAGACCCUUAAAGAUGACCUUGCUUCCAAAGCCAACAUCGUGAUCGACCCCCUGGAGCUCCAGGCAGCCACCAUGGAUGACCUGGAUGAGGAUGAAGAGCCUGCCCCCUCAGCGGCCCAGGUGUGGCAGGAGGGACAGCGUCCGAUGCAAGCCCUGGCCAUCGGAGGGGCACUGCCCCUGCCCCGGCCAGGCUGGCUCAGUUCUCCAACCCUGGGCAGAGCCAACCGCUUCCUCAGCACGGCAGCUGUGAGCCUCAUGACCCCACGGCGGCUUCUGAGCACCAUGGAGAAAGUCAAAGUUCGCUCACUGAAUGUGGAACAGAGGACCCGUGAGGACAUUGAGGGCAGCCACUGGAAUGAGGGCCUGCUGUUGGGGAGGCCCCCUGAAGAGCCUGAGCAGCCGCUUACCGAGAACUCGCUGUUGGAAGUCCUGGAUGGCACAGUCAUGAUGUAUAACCUCAGCGUUCACCAGCAGCUGGGCAAGAUGGUGGGUGUGUCUGAUGAUGUCAACGAGUAUGCAAUGGCCCUAAGAGACACAGAGGACAAGCUCCGUCGGUGCCCUAAGAGGAGGAAGGAUAUCCUUGCAGAGUUGACCAAGAGCCAGAAGGUUUUCUCAGAAAAGCUGGACCACCUGAGCCGCAGGCUUGCCUGGGUCCACGCCACAGUCUACUCACAGGAGAAAAUGCUGGAUAUCUACUGGUUACUGCGUGUCUGCCUACGGACCAUUGAGCAUGGGGACCGCACGGGGUCUCUCUUUGCCUUCAUGCCUGAGUUCUACCUAAGUGUGGCUAUCAACAGCUACAGUGCCCUGAAGAACUAUUUUGGCCCUGUGCACAGCAUGGAGGAACUCCCAGGCUAUGAAGAGACCCUGACACGCUUAGCUGCCAUCCUCGCCAAACACUUUGCUGACCCUCGAAUAGUAGGCACUGAUAUUCGAGACUCACUGAUGCAGGCCCUGGCCAGCUAUGUGUGCUACCCACACUCCCUGCGGGCUGUGGAACGGAUUCCUGAGGAACAGCGCAUCGCCAUGGUGAGGAACCUUUUGGCACCCUAUGAGCAACGGCCCUGGGCCCAGACCAACUGGAUCCUGGUGCGGCUUUGGAGGGGCUGUGGGUUUGGGUACCGCUAUACACGGCUGCCACAUCUGCUGAAAACCAAGCCAGAGGAUGCCAAUUUGCCCAGCCUCCAAACCCAGGGAUGCUCCAGGAGAAGACCUUUUGUUCCCUUUGGGCUUGUGUGAAGGUUUAACAGUGAAAGGACCCCUCCAGCUUGGCGGAAGCUCGUGGAGGAUAGAGACGUACUCUAUUGCCUGCCUCUGCCUGCCUCCUUACUCCCAGCUGUAGCCAGGAAGUGUACCUGCCUUCUUUAUCUUCUGGCCUUGGACCCUUGACUCAGGAGGGGGCACAAACUAGAAACUGAUCAGGACCCAGAGCGGGUUAUAGAUGUGGCUAGGAACAGAGACUUUCAAAGUCUCCUUAGCACAAGGACCUUUAUCUGACCUGGACAAGACCUUGGGCUGUGCAGCUUGCAGAGAGGGCUCACCACACUCCUUCCUGGGCUCACUAGUGUUUCUGGCCUUGAAGCUAGUGUCUUGGUCUCUGGAUGUUCCCAGAGAGGCCAAAAUUCUUGUGUAGAUUCACAUAGCAAGUUCUUCCUUGCUAAAUACCUUCACCUGGACUCUAGGACGGAAUUGAGGUGCAAGUGGGGAAGGGCAUGGGGCCUGAUACCAUCCCUGUGUGCAGGAACUAUUGAUUUGCAACAGAGGGCUGAAGAGCUAUGUCAGGCCAGUCGCGGCCGAGAGCUCUGGUUACUGCUGCCCUUCCAGCCCAGACUUGGCGCUCAACACCUAAGCCAAAUGCCAAGGCCAGACCAAGGGCAGCAGAGGACAGCAGGGCAGUCUGGGCACUUCAUGAAGCUGGCCUUGACACUAGUGGGAACAGUCUAAGUUGUCUUGUCUAUAUGACAUCUGCCCGACAGGCAUGUGACUCAGAACUUGCUUUAGAUCAGGCCCACAGCUCUCUGGCCCACGGGAAUGAUGGUAUUGGAAACACCUGCAGCCUGUGACUUGCCCAGCAAGAGGGAGACAGACUCGCCCCUAACCUCCCAGGCAGUAGUGUGCUGCUCCUCUCUGCCUUUGUGAGCUGAACGUUCUUAGGCAGGCGUCGCUGCAUUCUUAAUGCAGCGGUGCAGGAGGACAGGCAGGAGUCCUGUCUGGAGUCCCUGGUAACUCUACUCUCCUCUGCCCCAGAGCCCUGCCCUUCGACCUUGCUACAGCAGCACAUGGCGGACCUGCUGCGACAAGGGUCUGAUGUGGCACCGAGCUUCCUCAACAGUGUCCUUAACCAGCUCAACUGGGCCUUCUCUGAGUUCAUCGGCAUGAUCCAGGAGAUUCAACAGGCUGCUGAACGCCUGGAGCGGAACUUUGUGGACAGCCGACAGCUCAAGGUCUGUGCCACCUGCUUUGACCUGUCGGUCAGCUUGUUGCGCGUCUUGGAAAUGACCAUCACGCUGGUACCUGAAAUAUUCCUUGACUGGUCCCGCCCUACCUCUGAGAUGCUGCUUCGGCGUCUGGCACAGCUGCUGAACCAGGUGCUGAACCGGGUGACAGCUGAGAGGAACCUGUUUGACCGUGUAGUUACCCUACGGCUACCUGGGCUGGAGAGUGUGGACCACUACCCUAUCCUGGUGGCAGUGACUGGCAUCCUGGUACGCCUCCUGGUGCACGGCCCAACCUCAGAGACAGAGCAAGCCACCUCUGUGCUCCUGGCUGAUCCCUGCUUCCAGCUUCGUUCCAUAUGCUAUCUCCUGGGGCAGCCAGAGCCCCUAGCACCUGGCACUACCUUGCCUGCCCCUGACCGGAAACGCUUCUCUCUACAGAGUUAUACAGAUUAUAUCAGCGCUGAGGAGCUGGCCCAGGUGGAACAGAUGCUGGCUCACCUGACCGCUGCAUCUGCCCAGGCGGCCGCCGCCUCCCUGCCCACCAAUGAAGAGGACCUCUGCCCAAUCUGCUACGCCCACCCCAUCUCUGCUGUGUUCCAGCCUUGUGGUCACAAAUCCUGCAAAGCCUGCAUCAACCAGCACCUGAUGAACAACAAGGACUGCUUCUUCUGCAAAGCCACCAUUGUAUCUGUAGAGGACUGGGACAAGGCAGCCAACACAAGCGCCAUGUCCUCAGCUGCCUAGGCCAUCCUGGAAGCUCCGCCAUCAGCCGCAGACCGGGCCCUGUUUACCCAUCACCCUCACUCUUACCACUUCCACCCACCCAUCUGCCUGUGUGUAGCCUCGCUGGUGGGAGCCUGAGCUUGACUUCCAGUCCAGGCUACAGUGAGCAUUAAAUUAUUAUUCCAAACA